rnacentral:rRNA from 1 species
UACGAAGGGGGCUAGCGUUGUUCGGAUUUACUGGGCGUAAAGCGCACGUAGGCGGAUCGUUAAGUCGGGGGUGAAAUCCUGGAGCUCAACUCCAGAACUGCCUUCGAUACUGGCGAUCUUGAGUCCGGAAGAGGUGAGUGGAACUCCUAGUGUAGAGGUGGAAUUCGUAGAUAUUAGGAAGAACACCAGUGGCGAAGGCGGCUCGCUGGGACGGUACUGACGCUGAGACGCGAAAGCGUGGGGAGCAAACAGG